UAGACAGAUCUUAUAUGUUCAUACUUCUCUUGCAGGAGGAUGAACCUGGAUCCUGGCUGGCUGCUGCUCCUAUCCAUGUCUCUGGAGGUUUGGUCAGUGCCCCUCGACCGCAAUGCAACCCCCCAGGAAGCACAUUCUCCCCAGGAGGACAAACAGGAGGAUAAUGUGGACACAGGCCUAUACUAUGACCGGUAUCUGAGAGAGGUGAUUGAAGUGCUGGAGACAGAUCCCCACUUCAGAGAGAAACUCCAGACUGCCAAUACAGAGGACAUCAAGAAUGGUCGUCUCAGUAAGAGCUGGACCUUGCAGGGCACCAUUUAGAACUCGUCUGGAUGAGCUGAAGAGACAGGAGGUGUCUCGCCUCAGGAUGCUGCUCAAAGCCAAACUGGACAGCACCAACACACAGAGUUUACAGAUGGACCAUGCCUCUCUGUUGAAGCAGUUUGAACACCUGGAUCACACAAUCAGAACACCUUUGAGGCCAAAGACCUUGAGCUGCUCAUCUCAACGGCCACUAAAGACCUAGAGAACUACGAUGCAGAGAGACAUGAUGAGUUCAAACGCUAUGAGAUGCUGAAGGAGCACGAGAGACGGGAGUACCUCAAGGGUCUGGACCAGGAGAAGCGAGAGAAGGAGGAGAAGAGGAUGGAGGAGCUGAAGGAUAAACACCGCAAGCACCCCAAGGUCAACGCUCCGGGCAGUGUAGCUCAACUGCGUGAGGUAUGGAAGGAGACUGAUGGACUGGACCCAACAGAGUUUAACCCAAAGACCUUCUUCAAACUGCAUGAUGCGAAUGGAGAUGGUGUUUUAGAUGAGCAGGAACUAGAGGCCCUCUUUGCCAAAGAGCUGGAGAAGGUCUACGACCCAAAGAAUGAGGAGGAUGAUAUGAUGGAGAUGGAGGAAGAGAGGCUGAGGAUGAGGGAGCAUGUCAUGAAGAACGUUAGUAUUGUUUGGAUUUCUUUCCGUUCAAAUCAACAGACUGUUUUGAAGAAAGAGUUCAACAACCCUAAAGAAUGGGAUACUUUAGAUGACACCAAGCCGGUGUUUACAGAGGCUGAGCUCCAGCGGUUUGAGGCGGAACUGCACACCAAGGAGGAGGAGCUGGGUAGGCGGGCGGAGUCUCUUCGUCAGGAGCAGGAUCUGCUGAAGGAGAGGGGCAAGGCCCUGGAGGCCCAGAGACGAGAGUACCAACAGGCAGUGCUAGAGAUGUCUCAGAGGAAGGAGAAACAGGCAGUGGAGGGGCAGCCUCCUACUGGUCCUAACGGAGAACUACAGUUCCACCAAGAGAUGCAGAAACUGGAAGAUCAAGGUGCUAAAGCUCCUGUUGAACAAGAAGUCCAAGAGGCCCAGAAUAACCUGCCUGCAGAACCACCACAGAACCUGCCCAUACACACCUAAUGCAGCACCCUGAUACACAUAGGGUUGCAAUGGGAGGGUAUAUUACUGGAAACUUUCUAAGUUUACCAGUAAACUACCAGAAUUUUUGUAACUUUCAAGGAAUGUAUGGAAUUUUAUCAGAUGACAUCUGUCUUUUUUUGGUACUUCGGAUUAUCACAGGUGUUUGUGAGCAUGGUUACAUGCACACCAUAAUUUGAUUUUGUUUAAUACAUUUACAUGCUUUGCAAGAAAAACGAUUUCCCUAAUAAUCCUGUUUACGUCUGAAAUCAGAUAAAUUCCAAAAAUCAGCUAUCUAAAAAAAUGUUCGACCACAUUGGCCAAACCUUUUUGCAAAACCUUUUUGAUUCUGAGUUGGGACAUAUAAAGUUUGUAUGUGAAAACAAUUUCUAAUAUGCAUACCUUGUUUUUCCAAAUUCACGCAUAAGAGGGAGUCUUGCGCUACCUGUGCUGGCGCAAAUCAAAUACACAGCUCGAAUGCAGUAAUUUGAAAGAUUGCCUAGAAAACCAGGUGUUUUAAUCGGUGAAUGCUUACUUAGAUUUUGACCUUACGCCGAUUAAGAUAAGCAGAAUAAUGUGUUUACAUGACUAUUUCCAUACCUGGCAUACUGCCAUAAUCAGUUUAAUAUCAAAUUAUUAGUGUGCAUGUAAACAUACUCAUGAAUUAUCUCUGGACCUCUGUGUGAUAUAACAUCUAUACAAUAAUUAAAUGAGAUGACAAAGCUGUAAAAUAUCCUAAAUAUAAACCAUCAACGUAGUGAAUGUCAUUGAUGUUUAAUAUGAGGGUUUCAGAAUAAAAUACCCUUUGUUUAUUUUACACACACUUUUUUAUUUUACUAUGUCAAUAUGUCUUUGUUGUAAAUAUUUUGGGGUCAAACUGGUGGCAGUUGUGAAAAAAUACAAUAGUUUGUGGAGUGAAUUGAAAACAAUGCAAUUGUUGAUUAGAUGCUUUUCCAAAAUUAUUUAGGUUAUUUUUCUCUUGAAGCAUAUAGUCUAUCCACUAGAAACUCAUGGACAUUAUGGUCACAGAUGUAAAAAAUGUUUUACUAUAUAUAUGAAUAACAUUUGUUUUAGUUCAAGUAUAAAUCACCAAAGUUACCAUAGAUUACCUGUUAUUUACCAAAAUUACGGAGGAUUCCAGUAACUUUGGUAAAAUAGUGGUAGCUGUGCAACCCUAAAUACACACACGCUCUUGCAGGAACACAUCUCAUUCACUGACACACAUAUCCAGAUGGGUACAGCAAAUGACAUCAUACAGCACAAGCGCACAACCCCAGUCAGUCAAGCGCAUCGUAUCGUCCCCUGGCACAGUCCCGGUGUUCACCUAUCUCUGUGGUUUACAUUUGAUCUCAAUAAAUUAUUCAACUCACUGGA